UUGUGCUCACUUCAGCUGUACACAUACAAACAAUGCAGAGAUUAGCAUGGCCCCUCUGCAAGGACGACAUGCAUAUUUGUAAAGUGUUCCAUAUUUUU
rnacentral:snRNA from 1 species